rnacentral:lncRNA from 1 species
CUUAUUUAAAGAUCCCACUGUAAUUUCCAGCCACCCACUACAAAAUCAGCCAGUGAAGCAGAAAUCAUCAAAACUAUUUGAGGAAAAUGAAAGCAGUCAAAAGAGAAUUUCCUGAUGCUCCCACCAUCAAAUCCAUCAGCAUGCCUGCAUCUGAAAUCACAUUCUUUGCUUUCCUUCCUUUGAGAGUGGCUGGUCUGUCAGUAAUUCUAGCAAAGACCACACCACAUCCUAACCUCUUACCAGAGAGCAUUUUCCUGAAAAUGACCAUUUCUGCAUUCCCCCUUAUGUUUUCCCCUAUACUGAAUCAUUCCGGUUAUCAUUUGUUUCAAAUGAAGAAUUAUAAUUCAAGUAUUUCUUUUAGUGCAAUGAGUGAGAGAUAAAGAUUACAUUUAACAUUAAGAUUGGUUCAGAACAUAAAAGUUCUUUUUGCACCGUGUUGGAAACUAUUGAAGUACUAUCUUCACAGCGUAACCCUCCGUACAUGCACUUCAUUGCUCCUCAAUUUUUCUGCCUUUCUCCAACACAAUACCUGAUACUUCCCUACUUUCUAUUCUCUUGUAUCCUUAUUUUUUCCUAAUUGAGAGAGAACAGUGAUGAUAAUUAAACAAUUGAGUGGAAACCAAUUCCUGCGAUAGUGCUAGAUGCUUAAUAGGUAACAUCUUCUGCUCGAGUUACUGAGACUUCACCUACUUUGAAGCUACUGAUCUCAAAGAAGCUUAAGGAAUAAUUAUGGAGGAGAUAAUUUUAGGUAAAUUUGAAUUUAUAAGGAAAUGUUGUCCAGGAAAAUUAUAGGGUCCAUUUUUUACCAGGCUUGAGACAUAUUUGGUACAGAGAAUAUUAGGGAGUGGUUAGUCAGAAUGGCUGCUUUGGAAAAUGAAUUUAACUGUAAGAAGUCUGUUGAGUACAUAUAACAGUGGAAUAAAAUGGUGGUGGAGGUGAAAGAUCAGUUCAUAUGAUACAUUUUGACUUCAAAUUUCUAGUCUCUGAGGAUUAAGAAGGUACCAGUGAAGAAAGGUUUGAUUUUCAAAGAGAAGCAGCCAAUGUCCCAUGACACCAUUAAUAAAAUAGAUAACACUUUAGAGUGUGCAAAGUUCAUUUAUUUUGAUUAUCUAAUUCAAAAGUGACACAACCUUAUGAGGUAGCAAUUGCUAUACUUUAAUAAGGAAUGGAAACUAAGAGAAAUUAAGUAAGAUUUACCUUGGAUUUCCAAGGUAAUCCAAUAAGUGAGUCAAACCCAGGCUAUAGGUAAAGAAAUUGGCCACUCAGUACUACAAUAUGUAUGUUCACCAUUGUAGAGUGCGGCUGUCUUUUGAAAAAUGGCCCUUAGUGAAACAUGCUGUCCAGUAUUCACUUUUUUGUAUAGUUUUUAACCAAAAUAAAUGAGGGCUUGCCCUGUGUAAAUGAUAGAAUGUGGCGUGUUUCUUUUUCUCUAGGAAUGUGUAGUCUGUAGGAAGCCAACUUUUUGAACAUGAAGUUCAAGCACUCUGAGGACUCUAAGUUUGAGGAAGCCCAAGAUAGCCAUAUGGAGAGUCCACAAAAAGAAAAAGAGCUAUAGUGUCUGCUCUUUUAGCAAUCCCACCUGAGGUGUCAGACAUGUGAAUGAAGAUACUUUCUUGGUUGUCCAGUCUAGUUGAACUUUCAGAUGACUCUAGAUUUUGCUACUAUCUGACCGACACUCCAGGAGAUAUCUCAAGGGAGAAAUAACCAGUUGAGCUCAGUCAACACAAAUUACCAUAAAUAAUUAUUUUGGUUUCCAAGUUUGGGGGUGACUUUUUGUGUAGCAUUAGAUAAACAAAACCCUGCUUAUCUCCAAAGUUGGGGAAGGGGAGAAAUAAAAGAAUCACAUAAGGUAAAUAAGGGGCAUUGUUUUGCAAACUUUGAAAAAUACUAUAUACAAUGCAUGGAUGUAGUGAAAUACAUAGAGACUCAGAAGUCAUAAGCCCUGAGUUUGAAACCUCUUGAGAUUUUCUCACUCUGUGACUCUUGGAUAAAUCACACUCAAUUUCUCCUAGUCUAAAUGUGAUUAUCAAUAAAAUUAUGUUAAUAAAGCCUUGCUCUGUUUAGAGUCUUAGGUGAGAAAAUGUGGUUUGUAAAUGAUUUUGUGAAUUUUAUAAAAUUAUACAGAUAUAUUUCGUAUUGCUAUUAUUAUAAUUAAAAAUACAGAGUCAGGAUAAUUUCAUCCUGUGCACAAGAGGCAGA